rnacentral:rRNA from 1 species
UAGAGGGAGGUGGAAAUUCCAGGUGUAGCGGUGGAAUGCGCAGAUAUCUGGAGGAACACCAGUGGCGAAAGCGGCCUCCUGGACCAUUCCUGACACUCAGACGCGAAAGCUAGGGUAGCAAACGGGAUUAGAGACCCCGGUAGUCCUAGCCCUAAACGAUGUAGACUAGACGUCGGCGGUGUAAUAGCUGUCGGUGUCCAAGCUAACGCGAUAAGUCUACCGCCUGGGGACUACGGCCGCAAGGUUAAAACUCAAAGGAAUUGACGGGUCCCCGCACAAGCAGCGGAGCGUGUGGUUUAAUUCGUUGCUACACGAAGAACCUUACCUGGGUUUGACAUAGCAGUGGUAGGGAAGAGAAAUCGGACCGACCCUUCGGGGAGCUGUUACAGGUGUUGCAUGGCUGUCGUCAGCUCGUGUCGUGAGAUGUUCGGUUAAGUCCGCUAACGAGCGCAACCCGCGUUGUGUGUUAUAUGUGUCACACAAUACCGCCGGUAUUAAGCCGGAGGAAGGUGCGGAUGACGUCAAGUCAGCAUGACCUUUAUAUCCAGGGCUACACACACGCUACAAUGGACAGUACAACAGGUUGCCAAGCCGCGAGGCGGAGCCAAUCCUCUAAAGCUGUCCUCAGUUCAGAUUGCAGGCUGCAACUCGCCUGCAUGAAGUUGGAGUUGCUAGUAACCGCAGGUCAGCUAUACUGCGGUGAAUACGUUCCCGGGGAUUGUACACACCGCCCGUAAGGGCG